UCUUAUCUGGUUUGAGUUCCCUAUGUACU
rnacentral:piRNA from 1 species